CCUAAAGAACGUGCAAGAAUCACCUGAAGCACUCUCCGACCGAUUCCGAAAUCGAAACCGAUCCUGCAGACAGAACUGCAAACCUGGCCAAGAAUAAUUUAUUACACCAUCAUCAGUGUGCCUAACCUCAUCAAGACGGAAACAAUCUAACCGAACACGGGAAGCAUCGGAACCAUCACGACCUAGACACGAUAGGCAGAGGAGCAUCAAAUUCCGGCUCACCUGUAAAGAGAGUCUUGCCAGAAUCCACCGCAUUACAGGGUGAACCGACGUCGCAUCCUGGGAAGAUCAGACUUCCUGAACA